rnacentral:rRNA from 1 species
UACGAAGGGUGCAAGCGUUAGUCGGAAUUACUGGGCGUAAAGCGUGCGUAGGUGGUUUCUUAAGUCCGUUGUGAAAGCCCUGGGCUCAACCUGGGAACGGCAGUGGAUACUGAGAGGCUAGGGUGUGUCAGAGGAUGGUGGAAUUCCCGGUGUAGCGGUGAAAUGCGUAGAGAUCGGGAGGAACACCAGUGGCGAAGGCGGCUUUCGAGGCGCUAACUGACGCUGAGGCGCGAAAGCGUGGGGAGCGAACCGG